UGCAAUAGACCUCAAACUUGAGGUGACAAAGUGUAAUUUACCCUUUGUGUUACUAAGUCAUGUCGUUUUGUAUUCUGAUGUUGGUCUGCUAAGUGUUGUGUUUAUGUUAGUCAAGUUUUCUAUUCGUGCCGUUUUAUUAAAACGAGAAGAAUAAAAAAAAUACAAUUAAAAUAUAAGAGCGCACAAAGUUAAAAAAGUGCAAAAAGUGAAAAAAAUUGUUAUAAACUUCUUGUUUAAGUGUGAUUGUGUAAAUCCUAGAUUAGAUUUAAUUCUAGUUAUUCUUUCCUAUAUGGACUUGUAUUCCUUGGAGGAGAAGAUUUAUUCUCUCUCUUAUUACUAUAAAUAAAGGCACUGCGUAGGGGGAAUAACACAUCAUCUACACAUUCUUCUACAUAUCCCUACAAACGCAUCUCUCUCCCUGCCGCUGGCCCCCUUCCCUUGUCAAAUAAAAUAGGUUACAACACAUUAUCAGCACGCUCCUACCGUUGCGCUUAGGAAUCUAACGUGGAAGCUUUCUGCAUCAAACUAGUUCACCAAUAUCAUCACACAAUCAGGUUCUUCCAAAACAACAGUUUUUAUCUCGAUAUUUUUGCAGCCCUGAUAGCAUAAACAUUUACCAUAAUGCAUGACCCAACUUUACGUUUUUCGAAUUUUAGAUUCUACAUAAAUUGUGUAUGCAUUAUAUCCAUAAUUGUUGAAUUAUAUGAAUUUGAUAUUGCCAUGAAUUGCAUCAAAUAUAUGUUCAUUCAUUAAAUUAU
rnacentral:lncRNA from 1 species